rnacentral:rRNA from 1 species
AGUGAACGCUGGCGGCAGGCCUAACACAUGCAAGUCGAGCGGCAGCACGGCAAUAGCAAUAUUGUGGGUGGCGAGCGGCGGACGGGUGAGGAAUGCAUCGGGAUCUACCCUGUCGUGGGGGACAACGUAGGGAAACUUACGCUAAUACCGCAUGAUCUGGAGACAGCAAAGCCGGGGACCCGCGAGGGCCUGGCGCGAUGGGAUGAGCCGAUGUCCGAUUAGCUAGUUGGCGGGGUAAAGGCCCACCAAGGCGACGAUCGGUAGCUGGUCUGAGAGGACGACCAGCCACACUGGAACUGAGACACGGUCCAGACUCCUACGGGAGGCAGCAGUAAGGAAUAUUGCUCAAUGGGAGAAAUCCUGAAGCAGCAACGCCGCGUGAGGGAUGAAGGGCUUUUGCUCGUAAACCUCUGUAGUGAGGGAAAAAUUUCCACUCUGUGGAAUAUGAUGGUACCUCAAAAGUAAGCCCCGGCUAACUACGUGCC